GGACUACUGGGGUAUCUAAUCCUGUUUGAUCCCCACGCUUUCGUGCCUCAGCGUCAAUAGUUGUGUAGCCAGCUGCCUUCGCAAUCGGUGUUCUAUGUCAUAUCUAAGCAUUUCACCGCUACAUGACAUAUUCCGCUAACCUCCACAACAUUCAAGACAUAUAGUAUCCAUGGCAGUUUCCGAGUUAAGCUCGGAGAUUUCACCACAGACUUACAUAUCCGCCUACGCACCCUUUAAACCCAGUGAAUCCGGAUAACGCUUGCACCCUCCGUAUUACCGCGGCUGCUGGCAC
rnacentral:rRNA from 1 species